AGUGAACGCUGGCGGUAGGCCUAACACAUGCAAGUCGAACGGCAGCACAGUAAGAGCUUGCUCUUACGGGUGGCGAGUGGCGGACGGGUGAGGAAUACAUCGGAAUCUACUUUUUCGUGGGGGAUAACGUAGGGAAACUUACGCUAAUACCGCAUACGACCUACGGGGGAAAGCAGGGGAUCUUCGGACCUUGCGCGAUUGAAUGAGCCGAUGUCGGAUUAGCUAGUUGGCGGGGUAAAGGCCCACCAAGGCGACGAUCCGUAGCUGGUCUGAGAGGAUGAUCAGCCACACUGGAACUGAGACACGGUCCAGACUCCUACGGGAGGCAGCAGUGGGGAAUAUUGGACAAUGGGCGCAAGCCUGAUCCAGCCAUGCCGCGUGGGUGAAGAAGGCCUUCGGGUUGUAAAGCCCUUUUGUUGGGAAAGAAAAGCAGCAGGUUAAUACCCCGCUGUUCUGACGGUACCCAAAGAAUAAGCACCGGCUAACUUCGUG
rnacentral:rRNA from 1 species